rnacentral:lncRNA from 1 species
GGGGGAGGGAGGGCGCGCGCGGGGCGGCGCGAGGAGCCGGCGCGCGCGCGCGCGCGCGAGGCGGCCCUUCCCGCCCUUUCCCGCCUCGCCCCCCCCAGGACUUGCCCUCCGAGUCAACAAAAGGGCGGCGCCGAGGGAGCGGGGCGGGGGUGGGGUCGGUCCCAGCUCCGCCCCGCUGGUGUUUUCAGGGCCGGGGGGGGGGAUGAAUUGAAUUUGUAGCCCCCUUCCCCGUCGAGUCCCCGCCUCCCUCGUCGUCGUCUUCCCCCUCCCUCCUUCCCCUCCCGCUCCAGCGCCGCGGCCCGCCCUCCUCCUCCUCCUCCUCCUCAGCGGGGCCGCCGACACUGCGGGGCUGGGGGGAGGGCGGGGGGCCAGGAGGGCACAGCAGGAGGAGGAGGAGGAGGGAGGGAGGAAGGAGAGGGGGUCCCCUCUCUCCCCCCACCCCCCCCAGUCAGGUCCCCCCCCUUCUCCUCCCUCCGCCCCCCAGCCUCUCUCCCCUCCGCCAGCCGAGGAGCAGCAGCCCCGCCGCCGCCGUCGCCUUCGCCGCCUUUGCAGGUAACGACCCCCCCCCCCCCCUCCGCCGACCCCCUCCCCCGGUUAGGGUGGGGGGGGGGUCGGGAAUGUUCUGGCUCAAGGAUCCUCCUCCUUCUUCCCAGGAAUUCGGGGUGUGUGUGUUUGUGUCGGGAUGUUUUCGUGGCCUAGUGUGACCGUCCCUGUCUGGCCAGAGGCUGCAUCGCCCCCCCCCCCCCCGACUCUGCGCCAUCCCCCCCUCCCCUUGGACACGGGAUGGGAGGGGGCUGUUAUGCAACGACCCCCCCACCCCGAUUGCCCCCCUCCCCACCAUCCUCCCCCACCCCCGAGACCCGCCAAAAAGGGUGGGCCUUGGGGAGGGGGCGACCCCCCCGGCCUGCGCCUUAAUAGUAGCGGGGGUGGGAUCCGGCUGGAAGUUGUGCGUUCUAAGAAUAGAAAUGUGCGGAAGAUGCUGCGUUUGGCUCCUCCAAUGAUGCCCCGGCUGCAAGUAAACAAACCGGCCUCUUCCUCCUCCUCCUUCCCUUCCCCUUUCUCCUCCUCCUGCGCAUCGAGCCGCAUCAGCCAUCAUGGUGGUGGAACCCGAAGGGGAGGCGUGGACGGGGUGGGUUUCGGGCCCCCCCUCCCCCUCGGGUCCCCCCACAACUUUCGGGGUUUGGGGGGGGGCGAGACGCCUUGGGGAGGAAGACGGCUUCGGGAUGGCGGGAGAUCACCCCACUGGAUGCCCGCCACAUGUCGGAAAGUCAAGGAGCAUCCCCGUUACCAUCAUCAUCAUCAUCAUCAUCACCAUCAUCAUCAUCACCACCGUCCUCAUCAGAAAAAGCUGAUUCACCGGGCUUUUAGGGUUCGCCGAAAGUGCACCGGAUUAGUAACCGAUCAGCGUGCUGCAGUUAAGGUUGACUGCCGAACCCUCCUCCCCACCCCAAGUUCCCCAAUAAUUACAACUUGCCGGGGAAGAAGUGACUUUUGCUUUUCUUAACACCUCAUUAACUGAAUGAAAUUGUCAACACUGAAUGAGCUUCCUUAAAAUGAGGAACUUCCUCUGCAGAUUGAAAUGAGCAGACUUCUCAAGUUCUGUAGGCACGUUGCGUGCAGCAAGUAGAUAGCAAUAUUUCUCUUUGGGUUUCACCCUUUAAAUUUUAAUUGCAUAUAUUCUUGGUUUAGAUAAAAUCUCGUCAUUUUGUCCCAGUUCUUCCACCGAUUCCUGUUAGACCGAUUUAGUGGGUACUCCGUGUCUGCUGAGGCGAAACUAGAGAAGUGGCCAAACGAUUUCGCUGCGAAGUACGAGAAUGAAGUCUAAGAGCAGCAGAUGCUUUUUUAUUUUACCUAAACUAAAUGGGCAAUCUAUAUGGUUUCUUUUUUUUGGAAGGCAGAAUCUUUGUAACUUCAAAUAUCUGAAUUAGACUCUGAGGUUUAAUAAAAUUGUUCAGAAUUGAUUUUCCUUGACUAAGGGUCGUAGAGACCAUUGACAUUCCACAUUUGAAGUGUAGCUGCAAAAUGUAGAUUUUUGAAAAGUAAACACAAGAUUUAUGUACCGAAGUGCUGUUUUUUCUUCUAGAUUCAUCUGGAGGCAUAUAUGAUAUGUAGUCACACGUCACCUCUUAACAGAAAUAUUCCAUUUUAUUUCAUUGUGGGUUGGAUCAAGUUUGCAGUGAAGAGAAAAACAGAUUACUCCACUUCCUUGUUUCCUUUAAUUGGGAAAAAUGUGAUCGCUGUAAACAUCCUUUGAAUUGUACUUUUUGUGAUGGUGACACACAUCGAAUUGGUGUUUUCCCUACUUCUCUUUUCUUGUUACUGGAUCCCCAAAUGAAGCUGUGAAAUUAAGGCUAUUUAGGAACUUCUACCAAAGCAGUCUACCCCAAACAAAUAAAAGGAUUCACUUUAUUACGAUUUCAUCGUGUCACCCAGUUGUGUUUUUGCAAUUGAGUUGCAGAUUACGGAUUCGUAAUGUUUCUGAUCGAUGUGGGCCCUGUUGCAGAGCGUGUCUUUAGUGGUCAGUUGCUUUAGCUACGAACCCCUUGCCCGUAGCUACGGAGUGCUCAUCAAGGCACAUUCUCAAAGUCCAUUUUCCUAGGAGGCGUCUCGUUGGGUUCUUUUUUACCUCAGCCCACUCUGUCACAUUUUCAACCGGUUAAUUAGGUACCAAUCCGCCAAACCGUGCCCCAUGUCCAACUGGCUAAGUAUAGAUCGUUCACUUUAAAGUUCAUUCAGAGGGGGAGGGAGGGAGCUCUUCCAGGGAUUUCAACACCACUGUGAU